rnacentral:rRNA from 1 species
AUUGAACGCUGGCGGCAGGCCUAACACAUGCAAGUCGAGCGAGCGGCGGACGGGUGAGUAAUAUAUGGGACACUGCCCGAUGGAAGGGGGUAACUACUGGAAACGGUGGCUAAUACCGCAUAAUGUCGGAUGUACCCAGAUGGGAUUAGCUAGUAGGUAGUGUAAUGGCUUACCUAGGAGACGAUCCCUAGCUGGUCUGAGAGGAUGACCAGCCACACUGGAACUGAGACACGGUCCAGGCUCCUACGGGAGGCAGCAGUGGGGAAGAUUGCACAAUGGGCGCAAGCCUGAUGCAGCCAUGCCGCGUGUAUGAAGAAGGCCCUAGGGUUGUAAAGGACUUUCAGUCGGGAGGCGUUACCGACAGAAGAAGCACCGGCUAACUCCGGGCCAGCAGCCGCGGUAAUAC